rnacentral:rRNA from 1 species
AGUGAACGCUGGCGGUAGGCCUAACACAUGCAAGUCGAACGGCAGCACAGUAAGAGCUUGCUCUUACGGGUGGCGAGUGGCGGACGGGUGAGGAAUACAUCGGAAUCUACUUUUUCGUGGGGGAUAACGUAGGGAAACUUACGCUAAUACAGCAUACGACCUACGGGUGAAAGCAGGGGAUCUUCGGACCUUGCGCGAUUGAAUGAGCCGAUGUCGGAUUAGCUAGUUGGCGGGGUAAAGGCCCACCAAGGCGACGAUCCGUAGCUGGUCUGAGAGGAUGAUCAGCCACACUGGAACGGAGACACGGACCAGACUCCUACGGGAGGCAGCAGUGGGGAAUAUUGGACAAUGGGCGCAAGCCUGAUCCAGCCAUACCGCGUGGGUGAAGAAGGCCUUCGGGUUGUAGAGCCCUUUUGUUGGGAAAGAAAAGCAGCAGGUUAAUACCCCGCUGUUCUGACGGUACCCAAAGAAUAAGCACCGGCUAACUUCGUG